AUUGGUUCUAACAUUCCACGGAUACCAUAAGCAAGCAUUUUAAGCGUAUGUGUCGUGCUCUUUGCAACGUAGCUCCAAUCGUCAUCCAACCACCUAAUCUUGAUGCCACGCCUUCAGAAAUUCUUAAUGACCAAAGAUAUUACCCUUAUUUUGAGGACUGCAUUGGCGCAAUAGAUGGAACCCACAUUGAUGCGUAGGUACCAAGUAAUAGAGAAAUAGCAUAUCGUGGGAGAAAAACCACCAAAACACAAAAUGUAAUGGCAGUAUGCUCAUUUGACAUGAAGUUUACUUUCGUUUACCCAGGUUGGGAAGGGAGUGCCCACGAUGGACGUGUUUUCAUGGCUGCAGUGUCGAAUGCAGCCUACAACUUCCCACACCCCCCAAUCAAUAAAUAUUAUGUGGUGGAUUCCGGAUAUACAAGCAUGCCAGGGUAUCUAGCUCCUUAUUAAGGCCAAAAGUACCACCGAGACGAGUGGCAUGGGGUGAAUACGGUGUUUCAAUCGCAGCAAGAGUUGUUCAACUACAAGCAUGCGUCGUUGAGGAAUGUUAUCGAACGAUGCUUCAGUGUUUUGAAAGCAAGGUUUCCAAUACUCAAAAGUAUGCCUAAAUAUCCACCAGCUCGUCAACCUCAAAUCAUUACUGCAUGUUGUGUUGUCCACAAUUGGAUCUUAAUGGAGAGGGGAAAGAUGAAUUUUUUGAUGAAUUUUCUGACGAUGAAGACUUGGAUGAAAAUGAGGAUGCUGAUGGGGAACAAGCAAAUGUUGAGCAGAUCAA